rnacentral:rRNA from 1 species
UAAACUAGGAUUAGAUACCCUAUUAUUAUAAAUAUUGAUUUAAGUACUAAAUUAUUAAUAGUUAUGUUCUUUAAAAUUAAAAAAUUUGGCGGUAUUUUAGUCUUUUCAGAGGAACCUGUCCUGUAAUUGAUAGUCCACGAUUAGGGAUACUUUAUUUAUUAGUUUACAUAUCGUCGUAGAUUGAAUAUUUUAUUAGAAAUUUAAUAUUCAAGAUUUUAUUUUAUAAAAUAUAUCAGAUCAAGGUGUAGUUUAUAAUAAAGAAGAGGUGGGUUACAUUGAUUAUAAUUUUGGAUAAAUUUUUUGAAAAAAUUUUGAAUUUGGAUUUGAAAGUAAUUUUUUGAGUUUUACUAAAAAUGAUUAUAGCUCUAAAAUAUGUACACAUCGCCCGUCGCUCUUAA